GGAAAGGACCAGCCCUGAGAAAGAGCAGGGAGUCCGAGGCUGCAGCCACAGUCUACGCCCUCAUGGGUGAAGGGAAGCAGCUGGAUGUCCUGCCCCAGGAGCCCAACCCCGGCGCCGAGGGACUCACCUACGCCGAGCUGGACGGCCAGGCGCUGCAGGCCAAGCGGGGGGGCCCGGCCCCUGCCCCCGAGCCUGCCCUGUACGCCACCAUCAACGUGAGCCAGGGGCCCAAUGGGUAGAGCCCCCGGGGUGCAGGGGCGCCCCCCAUCCACCCCCAUGGCGUGAACCCAGGGGGAGUCAUCGGAGCGACGGGGCAGGGAGUGUCGGUCACCAGGGGGUGACAGCAUGAUUUCCCCCCCCCCCCAGAGAAUGGGCUCGACUUAUAGCACCCCUAUAGCCCUCCCACCAGCUGGUGCUGCCCCACCCAGCCCCACGGGUGGGGGCCAGGGGGGCUCAGCACCAGGAGGGGGAGGGGACACGCCGAGGCGGCUGUUUGUGUUAUUUUGCAUCCUGUUAAUCUCCAGAUUUGUA